CUCGGGGCGGGGGUCACCCCAGGAAUUGAUAGGGUCCCGCUCGGCCGGGGCCUCGGCGCGUCCCUCCUCGAGUCAUCAGGAGCCGACUGAGUCGAAGGCCGGGCCAGGAACCGAUCACGCCCGACCCGUCCGUCUCGAGCAGGCUCGGAUGAUACCUCCGGAAUAGCGGCAAUCUCACCACCGGAGGGCUGAUACAGCGUCAGCUGCCGGUCC
rnacentral:lncRNA from 1 species